UACGUAGGGGGCAAGCGUUGUCCGGAAUCAUUGGGCGUAAAGAGCGCGUAGGCGGUCCGGUAAGUCCGCUGUGAAAGUCAAGGGCUCAACCCUUGAAUGCCGGUGGAUACUGUCGGGCUAGAGUACGGAAGAGGCGAGUGGAAUUCCUGGUGUAGCGGUGGAAUGCGCAGAUAUCAGGAGGAACACCAAUAGCGAAGGCAGCUCGCUGGGACGUUACUGACACUGAGGCGCGAAAGCGUGGGGAGCGAACAGG
rnacentral:rRNA from 1 species